ACUCCAGCAGACGUAGCACGGCGAGUGACCGGGAAGAGCUCAAAUUUGUAAUCUGGCUGUCUUCGAUAGUCCGAGUUGUAAUCUAUAGACGUGUUUUCCGUGCUGGACCGUAUCUAAGUCCCUUGGAACAGGGUAUCAAAGAGGGUGAUAAUCCCGUGCUUGAUACGACCACCAGUGCUCUGUGAUACACGCUCUACGAGUCGAGUUGUUUGGGAAUGCAGCUCAAAAUGGGUGGUAAAUUCCAUCUAAAGCUAAAUAUUGGCGAGAGACCGAUAGCGAACAAGUACCGUGAGGGAAAGAUGAAAAGCACUUUGGAAAGAGAGUUAAACAGUACGUGAAAUUGUUGAAAGGGAAACGAUUGAAGUCAGUCGUGUUCUUCAGAUUCAGCUGGUUCUUCCAGUCUACUUCUGUUGAACGGGUCAACAUCAGUUUUGUCCGGUGGAUAAAGGUAGUAGGAAUGUGACUCCUCCGGGAGUGUUAUAGCCUAUUAUUGCAUACACUGGGUGAGACUGAGGACUGCAGCUCGCCUUUUGGCCGGUCUUCGGACACGUUCGAGCUUAGGAUGUUGACAUAAUGGCUUUAAACGACCCGUCUUAAAA
rnacentral:rRNA from 1 species